CCGAGUUUACAACUCCCAAACCCAUGUGAACAUACCUAUUGUUGCUUCGGCGGGAUCGCCCCGGGCGCCUUGCGUGCCCCGGAUCCAGGCGCCCGCCGAGGGACCCAAACUCUUGUAUUAUUGAGAAUUUUCUGAGUAAAGAUUUAAAUAAAUCA
rnacentral:misc_RNA from 1 species